AACGAACGCUGGCGGCAUGCCUAACACAUGCAAGUCGAACGAGACCUUCGGGUCUAGUGGCGCACGGGUGCGUAACGCGUGGGAACCUGCCCUUAGGUUCGGAAUAACUCCCCGAAAGGGGUGCUAAUACCGGAUAAUGUCUUCGGACCAAAGAUUUAUCGCCUUUGGAUGGGCCCGCGUUGGAUUAGCGAGUUGGUAGGGUAAAAGCCUACCAAGGCGACGAUCCAUAGCUGGUCUGAGAGGAGGAUCAGCCGCACUGGGACUGAGACACGGCCCAGACUCGGACGGGAGGGAGCAGUGGGGAAUAUUGGACGAGGGGCGAAAGCCUGAUCCAGCAGUGCCGCGUGAGUGAUGAAGGGCUUAGGGUUGUAAAGCUCUUUUACCCGGGAUGAUAAUGACGGUACCGGGAGAAUAAGCACCGGCUAACUCCGUG
rnacentral:rRNA from 1 species